rnacentral:lncRNA from 1 species
UGGUGGUGCCCGCGGGGAGACCUGCAACACGGUGCCAGCCUUGUCUACCUGCCCUCGUGCCCGGCCUCUCUCUCUUUGCGCUCUGCUCGAGGAUCUAUCUAAAGAAAAAAAAAGAAAAAAUAAUCUAAAAGAUACAGAUGUAAGGACAGCGUAUAGUUCUGUUGCAUAAGGUAUUGCCUUUGAAUCACCAUAAUUGGGAUAUAUUGAAAAUUGUCUAAUAGUCUCUCCGGUCGGAUGGUGAAGUGUUACCCUCCAGUGUCGUGUGAUCCAGUCGCAGGAUAUUGGCUUGGAGAUUAAGUGAGUGGAACGAAGAGAUAUAGCAUAGAAAACAAGAAAGAAAGAAAGAAAAAGAAAAAAAAAACAAUUAAAAGAAAAAGAAAAAAGAAAGGAAAAAGGAAAAAAGAGUGAACUACAAGAAAAGUAGAAAACAUUAUAUAUUGAAAAAACAACAACGCCAAGGUGGAAUCAGAAGCAAAAAUGCCGGAGUUGGUCGCGUGUCCUGUUUUGACCCCUGAUGACCUAGUAGAAGGAGAGCUUCUGUAUCCAGCUCUUCUGCCCAACUCACUACUGUGGUCCGGCAACGACCCUUACUGCUUCGUGGAGUUCGCUGACAGGCAGUCGGCUGAACACGCACUUCACACCAUGAACAAGCGCCUCUGUCUAGGAAAGGUAGAGUAGC